rnacentral:rRNA from 1 species
AUUGAACGCUGGCGGCAGGCCUAACACAUGCAAGUCGAACGAGUGGCGGACGGGUGAGUAAUUUCUGGGAACCUGCCCGAUGGAGGGGGAUACCUACUGGAACCGGUAGCUAAUACCGCCUACCAUCGGAUGUGCCCAGAUGGGAUUGGCUAGUGGGGGGGGUAACGGCUCACCUAGGCGACGCUCCCUAGCUGGUCUGAGAGGAGGACCAGCCACACGGGAACUGAGACACGGUCCAGACUCCUACGGGAGGCAGCAGGGGGGAAUAUUGCACAAUGGGCGCAAGCCGGAUGCAGCCAGGCCGCGUGUAUGAAGAAGGCCUUCGGGGUGUAAAGUACUGUGAGCGAGGAGGCGUUACGCGCAGAAGAAGCACCGGCUAACUCCGUGCCAGCAGCCGCGGUAAUAC